UCACAUGUUGGAGAUUUUGGGAAAUUAAUUUCUCAGUAAUGUGUCUUAAGUUACAAAACAUGAAGUGUCUUGCUUGUGGAACAUUGGUAGACUAUGAUGAAGAAAACAAUUAUAAUCUUUUUUUUGGUUUUAAUAAUAAUUCCAAAUCAUUUUAAA